CUAGCUUCUGAUGAGAUGCGCUGUGAAGUCAGCGUGAAGGUGCACCCGCAGGAGAGCGAAGUGGCAGCUGGCAGGGAUGAGAUCAGACAUCAUUCCGGACGUCCUUCCUGACGAAGCCGGGGCCAGAGGAGGGAAGCAGCCUGGGUCCCAGGUGCCUGCCGGCGGCCAGAAGAGGGAAGCCCGGUUCCAGUUACUGAGAAACUUCCCAAGGUUCCUUUUCCCCCACCAUCUGAAAGGUGGGAGACAUCAUCAGUUAUGUCACCCGUUUUCUGGGGUCCCAUGGCACAGAUGAUGCACCAGAAGAUCACACCACCCACCAGCCACCAUCCCAGCAGCUCAAGGGCCUUUAUGCCUAUUCAUUCGUUUUUACAAACAUUUUGUGGGGCCCACCCUCUGCCAGACUCUGUUCUAGGUACUGGAGUGAGGCAACGGAGA